rnacentral:rRNA from 1 species
GAUGAACGCUGGCGGCGUGCCUAACACAUGUAAGUCGAACGGAGUUAUGAAGUUUUCGGACGGAUUAACUUAGUGGCGGACGGGUGAGUAACGCGUGGGUAACCUGCCUCAUACAGGGGGAUAACAGUUGGAAACGACUGCUAAAACCGCAUAACAUUGCGAUGCCGCAUGGCGAUGCAAUUAAAUAUUUAUAGGUAUGAGAUGGGCACGCGUCUGAUUAGCUAGUUGGUGAGGUAAUGGCUCACCAAGGCGACGAUCAGUAGCCGGCUUGAGAGAGUGACCGGCCACAUUGGGACUGGGACGCGGCCCAAACUCCUACGGGAGGCAGCAGUGGGGAAUAUUGCACAAUGGGCGAAAGCCUGAUGCAGCGACGCCGCGUGAGUGAAGAAGUAUUUCGGUAUGUAAAGCUCUAUCAGCAGGGAAGAUAAUGACGGUACCUGACUAAGAAGCCCCGGCUAACUACGUGCCAGCCGCCGCCGUAA